CACGUGAAAUUCCGUCGGAAUCUGGGAGGACCAUCUCCUAAGGCUAAAUACUCUCUAGUGACCGAUAGUGAACCAGUACCGUGAGGGAAAGGCGAAAAGCACCCCGGAAGGGGAGUGAAAUAGAACCUGAAACCGUGUGCUUACAAGUAGUCAGAGCCCGUUAAUGGGUGAUGGCGUGCCUUUUGUAGAAUGAACCGGCGAGUUACGAUUUGAUGCAAGG
rnacentral:rRNA from 1 species